GUACAUGCCCUAACAUUACUCCAAAAUCUGAUCCCCAUCAGCCCUAUCAGAACACUAUUUAAAAGCUCAGCUUACUUCAACUGUGGCAAAACAGUUAUGGCCCAGGUAAACAGAAGAAGGUAGACUCCACCGUAACAAAUUUAGUUAACAGGAAGCAAUCCCAGAUCUAUAGGCACAGAGAAGAAUAAGAGAGAAACUUCACCCUAAUGAAAUUUAGACUUGAGUUUUAGAAGAUUUUCCUGGAAAGACUAAGUAGAGUCAAGAGUUGAGAUAAAGUGAAGGCAUGAAAAGCAGAAUGAUGUGGAAUUUAAAAGAUGAAGAGCUAUAAACGUGUUAAUUUAAUUGGCACGAUCUCUCGAAGACAGAUCCACUGCAACCACGAAGAAGAAUUAUCCUUUCUACACAGGGCCAUUUUUCCACGAUGCUACUACAUUGGCCAUCACAGAGCACAAUGGCAUCACCAGAAACCAAGAAGAUGGUAAGGCCUGGAGGUGGCAGAGCUGAAGAGGUUGAACUGGUUUGUUGAACUUUAUGGAUGGAGCCAGCCAACAGGAUGACAUUGUGGCAGAGAAAGAAGCUUGCAGCUUCUUGCAUCAGAAAAUCAGAUAGAGCCUCUCUGGCAAGAAGCUGCAGACACAAAAGAAGCUUGCAUUGAAGGUGACUCAGCUCUGGCUUUUCAGCAAUGCCCUAACAUUGGCUAUUUAAAAAGAGGCAAAGUAGCUUCAGUGAGACCUCAAACCAAUUGCACAGCUAGCCACUGCCCAUAAAGAAGCUACUGGUCAGAAAUGCUGGCUCCUUCAUAGACAAAACGGCAAAGUACAUUGAUAGGGGCUGCUGGUCCAGGAGGAUCUUUAUAUCCUGGCCAAGUAUGGCAUUUGUCUCUGUCACCUGGAAAAUGGCCCUGGAGCAGGCAUGUGACUGACUCGUUCUGCAAGGCCUCCAGACAGCUAAAUGAAGAUGGCUUCUAGCUAAGAAACAGAGGGGUUCAUACACAUGCAAAGAUAACUUCCCCACUUGUCUCUGAUGGAAACUCAAGGGCCAUGUGGAAAUGGCGUGGAUUUGGGACUCAGCUGAUGAACUUGGAAGCCCAGCCCAGCCAGUCAGCAGUUUGGUCCAGAACCUGUCUGCACCUCAGUGUCUAGUAAAUGGAGGAAGGGAGAAGGAGAUGAAACUAAUUGACAUUGGGCCUCUUUUAUGAACCAGGCACUUUGCUAUUCUCAUCCAGUCUUACCUUGACGGCAGGAAUGCAAAAUGGCAAGAGGCUCCAUCCUUGAAUCACCAUUUGGAGAAGAGUUAACUGACAAACAAGAUCUGCACUGAAUUAUAUGCCACAGGGAGCCAGGAUAGGAGGACAACAUGGUGGAUCCAGCAUGGAACUUACAACUGAGGCUAGUUUGAUGGACAUGGCACCAAAUCUCAUGAGAGUGACAAUAAGCUAGAACAGAAGUUUUGGAAAGCCAAAGAAAAGACUGUAACUGCACACAAUAAACAGAAAACAUUUGUGCUUUCUGUCUCCAUCUAUCACCCAAACAGUCAAACCUGGAGAAAACUACUUUUCCUCUCUACACCAACAUGCAUGCUAUUUGCAUAACACAUAACACAAGGAAGUGAAGCAAUUUGCUCAAGAUAAUGUGUCUAGUCAUCAGAAGGACUGGUCAGUGCCUCGAUCUUGAUGAUGAUGGAUACUGCUUAUUGGAUACUCUCACAUCUCAACAAUCCAAACACCUUCCACAAUGACCUGCUUAAUCUGACCCCUGGCACAUCUCAAAUCACAGUCUCUGUCUGUAGUAGAUAAAAAAAAAUGGACACACACUUUGCAAUACCACCCAUCAAGAGAUUAAGUAACUUUCUUCAUCCCUUGAAUCUAGUGGGCUCUUGUGACUACCAAUAGAAUUUGGUGGAAGUGACACUCUGCCUUCUGCAACAAGGCACCUGUGCUGAAGGAGACUUUUAGCCUCUGCCCUUGCCUCCCUGAAUAGUGCCUCCAUGUGAAGAAGACCAAGCUAACCUACUGGAGACAUGGCUCCACCAAGAACCAGUAGCAGCUGCCUGGACAAGGCCAUCUUAGACCACCCAACCCUAGUCAAGACAGCAGAAUGACUGCAGCUCGGUGAAUUGUGUUUUAAGCUGCUAAGUUUUCAGUGGUUUAUUAGGCAGCAAUACAUAACUGAAAUACCCUUUCACCCUCCCGACUUUAGGCUCCAGCCUUUCUGAUCUUCUCUUAAGCCUUGGAACAUGCCAUUGACUUUUCCACCCUGAGACUUUGCAUGUUAUUCCUUAUGCAUAAAAUACAUUCCUCUUUCCACCUGUCAAAUGGUUUAACUCCCUUUUAUCAUUUAGGCCACUAGCUUAAAAUUCACAUGCAGAGAGAAUUCUUUACUGAGCAACCAUAUACCCCAGAUUUCUUAUUCUUCAUAUCAGGCUUUUCUUAUUUUUUCAUUGCGCAUAUCACAAAGGGCAAUUAAUUAAUUAAUUUGUUUGUUUGUUUGUUAUUGCCUAUUUUCCCCCUAUCCAGAUGUAAGCUCCAUGAGAGUGGUUGGAGGCAAUGUUUAUUCUGUUUUCCACUUCACCUUAAGAGAGUGCCGGGAAGAGGGUCUCAUCCAUAUUUCUUUGGAUCCUUUUAUCAUUUUCCUGCAUACUUUCACUGAGAGUGCUCUCAUGUCCAUCAGCCAGCACUUGCUUCUCUUUUCUGAGGGCUGCCCCAGGCUCCUGAAGUCCAGCUUGGAUUGCCUGCAUGAAAACAUAGAGAGCUAAAGGCUGGGAACUUGCAUAGCCUUAGCCAUUUGCUAAGGAACGGGGUGAUAACUGUAAACACUCUAGCUCCCUUGUUCCCUGAUCAGGAAAACACUAAUGUGUGAUCUCCCUGUCUGCAGUGCUCACCUGCAGGACUUUCCUUGCUGGUUUUCUUCACGGUGUUUGUAAUAAGUGCAUUGUACCCUUGAUUGCCUUUCUUCCUUGCCCUGUCCUACUUCUCCAGUUCUCUGGAGGUUUUUCCAGGAAUGCUUCUUAAUAAACACCACUUUCACACAA
rnacentral:lncRNA from 10 species